GGAUGGGGAGGUGGGGUGGGGACCGGCUGCACAGGGGGCGGGGCGUUCAAAGGGGUGGAGAGGUCACCGUCCUGCCGGGCGCGGCUUGCUGGUGACCCGCAGUGGGGGAGGAGAGUUCUCCCGGUGCCGGGAUAGCCGGAUCCAGCGGCCUCUACCCGGUUAUCCUUCAGACUGGGGUCGGAGAAGUCGUGUUACCCCCCAUGAACCAGAUCUGCAAGCAAAAAGGAACUACCAUCCUGAGUCCUGCAGACCUCCUGCGCAGGUGUCGGGUAUGGUGACAAAGAAGGAAUGGGGGACCGCCCUCAACUGACACUUAAAAGCCCUGUAGCUGAGGCCAGAAACCCGCUCCAAGCCCGGGGUGCCGAGUCCUAGCCUAAGCCUUUUUGGAGGAAGAAGGGGAGCGACGCCGUGUGUGAAGUGCCGGGUCAGGUGGGGAUUCGAACUUUCGCCCAGGCCCCUCGCCGCCCGGCUCACGCCCGAGGCUUCAGGGGGAGGAUGUCCGAGACAGCCCCGACGCCACAGGCCUUCCUUCUCCUAAGGCGAGAGAGGAGUCGGUUCUGCAGAGCUCCAGAAACUGAGGCCCGAGGGAGUCCCGGCCCUUUGCCUCAUUGCUGAGAACACGGAAGAUUGGUACAAGGUUUGGGGAUAGAGCCCAGGGCCUUGUGGAUUCUAGACGAGCCCUCCUGCUGGGCCACAUCUCAGCCUUUGUCUGUUCACUUACAGCAAAGCCAGAAUAUUCCCCCACAACCAUGCAGCCAUACUCUGCUACAAAAAGCUCAACUAGCACACCCAAAAGAAGAGCUAAGGAACAUUCUGGAGAGGCCUCACAGAGCCACUGUCUGUCCUCUUGUCCUCCUGGCCUAGCUGUGCAAGAUGUAAAGAGCGAGCACUGUGUCACCACCUGCUUCUUAGGCCCCUAAGAAUGCCCUAGGUUUAUCCCU